rnacentral:misc_RNA from 1 species
GAUGAAGAACGCAGCGAAAUGCGAUAAGUAAUGUGAAUUGCAGAAUUCAGUGAAUCAUCGAAUCUUUGAACGCACAUUGCGCCCGCCAGUAUUCUGUCGGGCAUGCCUGUUCGAGCGUCAUUUCAACCAUCAAGCCCCAGGCUUGUGUUGGGGACCUGCGGCUGCCGCAGGCCCUGAAAACCAGUGGCGGGCUCGCUGUCACACCGGGCGUAGUAGAUUUUAUCUCGCUCAGGGCGUGCUGCGGGUUCCGGCCGUUAAAAAGCCUUUUUUACCCAAGGUUGACCUCGGAUCAGGUAGGAAGACCCGCUGAACUUAAGCAUAUCAAUAAGCGGAGGA